AUCACAGUCAGACGGGCACAAAACUUCAACCAGCCGUUUCUCUGCCUGGAAGCGGCGAACAUGUAACCUGGACGGGAGGCUGGAUGGGGACACAUACCAUGAGUGACAUCUUACCAGAGGGUGGCCAUGAACUUCAUCAUGUUCCACAACUGUUAAUGACCACUGGCGCUGGCCCUGCUGCUCUCUGAACUCCUCUCUGUGGAACUGUGCCCCUUCUCUGGGAAGAGUCCUUGAAGCUCUACUGAGAAUGAAACCUCUUCUUUCAGCUCAUGUCAAUCUUGGUAUUUUCCCAACAUGUUCAGGUUCUGGCUUGGAGGUGCUAUCUGUUGUUGACUUUGGACAUAAACGAAGCUGUUAUUUGCC
rnacentral:lncRNA from 1 species